rnacentral:rRNA from 1 species
UUGAAAUAAACCUGAUGGGUUGUUGCUGGUUCUCUAGAGAGCAUGUGCACGCCUUGUCAUCUUUAUAUCUCCACCUGUGCACUCUUUGUAGACCUUUCAGGUCUAUGUUGCCUCUUCAUUUACCCCAAUGUAUGUUAAUAGAAUGUCGUGCCUAUGAAAAAUCUAUACAACUUUCAGCAACGGAUCUCUUGGCUCUCGCAUCGAUGAAGAACGCAGCGAAAUGCGAUAAGUAAUGUGAAUUGCAGAAUUCAGUGAAUCAUCGAAUCUUUGAACGCACCUUGCGCUCCUUGGUAUUCCGAGGAGCAUGCCUGUUUGAGUGUCAUUAAUAUAUCAACCCUCUCAUGUUGAGUGAGUAGUGGUUUGGAUGUGGGGGGUUUGCUGGCCUUGUAAAAAGGUUCAGCUCCCCUGAAAUGCAUUAGCAGAACAACCUGUUCAUUGGUGUGAUAAACUAUCUACGCUAUUGAAUGUGAGGGCAGUUCAGCUUUCUAACAGUCCCUUGGACAAUUCUUCAUUUAUGUGAUCUCAAAUCAGG